CGCAUAUCAAGGGGCAGGGCAACUGGCAGCUGUUGUUGCUGCUGUUGCUGUUGUAGCAGCUGUGGCAGCUAUGGCUCGGUCCGGUCAGCGCGAAAAAUGAAGUUGACCUGCUUACAGCCGUGCCCAAAGUCUAAAACUGGAACAAAACUCACACACACACACAACCAAAACACUUCCGAACAAAUUUACAUAGGCUCGGGCAAAGAAAUUAUGCAUGCGGCUGUUGAUAUUGAAAUGCCGAGCAGGUUAAACUCUGUGCCGCCCACUCCAAGUUAAAUGAAGUGGAGCCAGCGGCAAAGCAAGUUUAACUUUCGUCUACGAGCGCCAGUUUGCAGACCAUAAACACGUAAGGCACGAAAAGCAAACAAAAUAAAUACACAAAGCUAGUACGACGCGAAGUCAACGUCAACGUCAACGUAGACGCCAACGCCGACGACGACGACAACAACAACAUGCAAAUUAAACUAGACGGAAUUAGCCAGAUAUACCAUUCAUCCAGCAGCUCUAGAAACAUCUGCAUAUAACGCCGUCAACAGUGACACAUCAAGAGAGUGGGCGGGCAUCUUAUUCAGGCGUAUCUGCGGAGCAGUAAGCGAAGAGUAGGUAGCAGCACGCAUCCUUGGGUUAAGCAAAUAUGGUGUUGCCAGACGUUUCUUAAUAGGUCAAACCAUGUCAACCUCGCCAGAAGUGUAAUGGAAUAAAAAAGGAUAAGGACCAGAAGUCUGCUAAGGAUACAUCUUGUUGACUUGGCCAGCCGCAGGAUAUAGUAUCUGCUCAGACAUCCUUAUAAUUUCUAAAUGGGGAAUCGUGGAGCGCUCCGCUUUCUGUAUUUUCUGUAAUUUCAUUAAGUCGGGUUAAACUUGCCCUUGAACUGGAUAUUACAUCCAACAUAAAUAUUGCAAGCCGUCGUCCGCUUUGGAUUGUUGACGUAACUGUUGGCAUUGCACUGGACAGAUUUAUUUAACCGGAAGCCCAAUAAUGCCUAAUAAUAAUGCUGAUUGCUAUUUAAUAAAGCUAUUUUAGUAAUAGGCUUGAUUGCCCAUUUGCGCCACAGCCGCAAAAAUAUGUGACCCAAAUUUGCAUAAUUUCGGCAAUCCCUGCUCAAGGUCAACAUUUUGGCCACCAAACCGGGGGCGGAGUAGUCAGUUAAAAAUGUGUUAGCCAAGGAAAUAAAAUUAAAUACAACAAAAAAAGUUUGCUCGAUUACAUCUUAAAAUGAAAUAAAUUAGCGCAACAAGCUGGAAUCAUGAAAUUCAGAAUGAAAAGCUCAACAACAACAAGUAAAGAUCUUGCCACUACAAGCUGAUUAUCGCUAAUUGGGACCAAGGCAAUUGGGGUAAAACGAGCCAGAAACAGAGUGGAAACCAAAGAAAAUUAUAUUUAUGUAUGAUUGGACUAAAAUGGAAUGUUCUUGCAAACAUAAACGAGUUUAAGAAACCAAUAAUAAAAGAAGUAGGGACGUAUAAGCCUAAUCUCCCACCAUACUCAGAUGUCUAUAAUACCUUGCCCAUAAAUUAU